rnacentral:sRNA from 1 species
GCCAGGCGUGGUGGCUCACGCCUGUAAUCCCAGCACUUUGGGAGGCUGAGGUGGGUGGAUCACCUGAGGUCAGGAAUUUGACACCAGCCUGACCAACAUGGUGAAACCCUGUCUCUA